rnacentral:piRNA from 1 species
UGAUUACAUAGGAGCUAUAGACCGUGGU